UCUGGGCUCUUUGGUGUAACCAUCGCUAUAGCAACUCUGCCACUAAACAAUGACCAGGAGGGAAUGAAAGCCAAAUUAUUACAAAAAAGACAAUGAAACGGGUGAGUUUCUGGAAAUAUUUUUCGUGCAUAAUAUAUUGGGUUUGCAAUUGACCUGGAUCAAGACUGAGACCACGACUUUCAGUGAGUUCCUGAACCGGUCCAUCAGAAGUGUAUUUGUAUGUGGUGAAAGUGUUGCUCUUGUAGAAACACUUUUGUCUGGGUCUUCGGCCUUACGGACUCUUGAGGUCAUUGGAGAGACGAUGCCUAGCAAUGGUGAUAUUUUUGUAGAAGAGCACAAGCUCAAGUCUUUACAGUCCUGGCACUUCCUGUCUUACUGUA